rnacentral:rRNA from 1 species
GAUGAACGCUGGCGGCGUGCCUAAUACAUGCAAGUCGAGCGAACAGACGAGGAGCUUGCUCCUCUGACGUUAGCGGCGGACGGGUGAGUAACACGUGGAUAACCUACCUAUAAGACUGGGAUAACUUCGGGAAACCGGAGCUAAUACCGGAUAACAUGUUGAACCGCAUGGUUCAACAGUGAAAGACGGUCUUGCUGUCACUUAUAGAUGGAUCCGCGCCGCAUUAGCUAGUUGGUAAGGUAACGGCUUACCAAGGCAACGAUGCGUAGCCGACCUGAGAGGGUGAUCGGCCACACUGGAACUGAGACACGGUCCAGACUCCUACGGGAGGCAGCAGUAGGGAAUCUUCUGCAAUGGGCGAAAGCCUGACGGAGCAACGCCGCGUGAGUGAAGAAGGUCUUCGGAUCGUAAAACUCUGUUAUUAGGGAAGAACAAAUGUGUAAGUAACUAUGCACGUCUUGACGGUACCUAAUCAGAAAGCCACGGCUAACUACGUG